GGCAGGUUUCUUAAAUCUCGCCGAGUCUAGCAGUAUGUCAUGAGGGGCGGGGUACGAACUCCCACGUGCUAGCAGUGAUAUGUUGUAGGAUAUGUGGCAGGCAAUACGUGAUUGAAUACGGCAGCCUCCCCGGGAUUAUACUGUCGCUCAGUCACGAUAGCGUGGGGAGGCAAACAGGAUCAGUUGGCUCUUUGUAGUCCAUGCCCUAACCGAUGUCUACUAGACGUUGGGGCCGAUAGCCCUUAGUAGCGCAGCUACUCGCGUGCAGUUGACCGCACUUCGGAGUACGGUCGCAAGAUUAAAACUCAAAGGAAUCGACGGGGACCCGCACAAGCGGUGGAUGAUGUGGAUUAAUUCGAUGCAACGCGAAAAACCUUACCUACCCUUGACAUGUCUGGAAUGCCGAAGAGAUUUGGCAGUGAUCGCAAGAGAACCGGAACACAGGUGCUGCAUGGCUGUUUUCAGCUCGUGUCGUGAGAUGUUGGGUUAAGUCCCGCAACGAGCGCAACCCUUGUCAUUAGUUGGUAUGCAAGAGCACUCUAAUGUGACUGCUGGUGACAAACCGGAGGAAGGUGGGGAUGACGUCAAGUCCUCAUGGCCCUUAUUGGUAGGGCUUCACACGUCAUUCAAUGGUCGGGACAGAGGGUCGCCAACCCGCGAGGGGGAGCCAAUCUCAGAUACCCUAUGGUAGUGGGUAUCGCAGUCUCCAACUAAAAUGCUUGAAGUAGGAAUCGCUAGUAAUCGCGGAUCAGAAGGUAGCGGUGAAUACGUGCCCGGGUCUUGUACACACGGCCCGUCACUCCAUGGGAGUGGGUCAC
rnacentral:rRNA from 1 species